rnacentral:rRNA from 1 species
AUUGAACGCUGGCGGAAUGCUUUACACAUGCAAGUCGAACGGUAGAGGGGGCAACCCCUCGAGAGUGGCGAACGGGUGAGUAAUAUAUCGGAACGUGCCCAGUCGUGGGGGAUAACGUAGCGAAAGUUACGCUAAUACCGCAUACGAUCUAAGGAUGAAAGCGGGGGAUCGCAAGACCUCGCGCGAUUGUAGCGGCCGAUAUCAGAUUAGGUAGUUGGUGGGGUAAAGGCUCACCAAGCCAACGAUCUGUAGCUGGUCUGAGAGGACGACCAGCCACACUGGAACUGAGACACGGUCCAGACUCCUACGGGAGGCAGCAGUGGGGAAUUUUGGACAAUGGACGCAAGUCUGAUCCAGCCAUUCCGCGUGCAGGAUGAAGGCCCUCGGGUUGUAAACUGCUUUUGUGCGGAACGAAAAGGUCUCUCUUAAUACGGGGGACUCAUGACGGUACCGUAAGAAUAAGCACCGGCUAACUACGUGCCAGCCGCCGCGGUAAGAC